rnacentral:rRNA from 1 species
UACGUAGGGUGCGAGCGUUGUCCGGAAUUAUUGGGCGUAAAGAGCUUGUAGGCGGUCUGUCGCGUCUGCUGUGAAAAUCCGGGGCUCAACCCCGGACUUGCAGUGGGUACGGGGCAGACUAGAGUGUGGUAGGGGAGACUGGAAUUCCUGGUGUAGCGGUGAAAUGCGCAGAUAUCAGGAGGAACACCGAUGGCGAAGGCAGGUCUCUGGGCCAC